CUACUACUCCCUCCGUCUAACAAAUGACGUUUCAACUUUGACCAAAUUUGAAUGCAUCUAUACACUAAGUCAUGUCUAGAUACAUCCAAAUUUUGACAAACUUAAGACAUCUUUUGUUGAACGGAGAAAGUACUAC
rfam:Brachypodium distachyon strain Bd21 chromosome 1, whole genome shotgun sequence.